rnacentral:rRNA from 1 species
AUUGAACGCUGGCGGCAGGCCUAACACAUGCAAGUCGAACGAGUGGCGGACGGGUGAGUAAUGUCUGGGAAACUGCCUGAUGGAGGGGGAUAACUACUGGAAACGGUAGCUAAUACCGCAUACCAUCGGAUGUGCCCAGAUGGGAUUAGCUAGUAGGUGGGGUAAAGCCUCACCUAGGCAACGAUCCCUAGCUGGUGUGAGAGGAUGACCGGCCACACUGUAACGUGUACACGGUCCAGCUUCCUACGGGAGGCAGCAGUGGGAAAUCUUGCACAAUGGGCGAAAUCCGGAUGCAGCCAUGCCCCGUGGAUGAAGAAGGCUUUCGGGUUGUAAGGUACGUUCAGCGGGGAGGCGUUACCCGCAGAAGAAGCACCGGCUAACUCCGUGCCAGCAGCCGCGGUAAUAC